rnacentral:tRNA from 1 species
GCCUGGGUGGCUCAGUUGAGCAUCUGACUUCAGCUCAGGUCAUGAUCUCACGGUUUGUGAGUUCAAGCCCCAUGUCAGGCU